rnacentral:rRNA from 1 species
CCUACGGGUGGCAGCAGUAGGGGAUAUUGCUCAAUGGGGGAAACCCUGAAGCAGCAACGCCGCGUGGGUGAUGAAGGAUUUAGGUUUGUAAACUCCUUUUGUCAGAGAAGAUUAUGACGGUAUCUAACGAAUAAGCACCGGCUAACUCCGUGCCAGCAGCCGCGGUAAUACGGAGGGUGCAAGCGUUACUCGGAAUCACUGGGCGUAAAGAGUGCGUAGGCGGGGUAAUAAGUCCGAUGUGAAAUCCGGUAGCUUAACUACAGAACUGCAUUUGAAACUGUGACUCUGGAGUGUGGGAGAGGUAGGUGGAAUUCUUGGUGUAGGGGUGAAAUCCGUAGAGAUCAAGAGGAAUACUCAGGGCGAAGGCGACCUGCUGGAACAAAACGGACGCUGAUGCACGAAAGCGUGGGGAGCAAACAGGAUUAGAUACCCCUGUAGUC